CGUGAGCCUAUACAUGCAGUCGAGCGAAUGGAUUUCAGAAGCUGUGCUCCUUUAUGAAGUUAGCGGCGGACGGGUGAGUAACACGUGGGUAACCUGCCCAUAAGACUGGGAUAACUCCGGGAAACCGGGGCUAAUACCGGAUAACAUUUUGAACCGCAUGGUUCGAAAUUGAAAGGCGGCUUCGGCUGUCACUUAUGGAUGGACCCGCGUCGCAUUAGCUAGUUGGUGAGGUAACGGCUCACCAAGGCAACGAUGCGUAGCUCGACCUGAGAGGGUGAUCAGCCUAGCGACUGAGGACAUGCCAUGACACUGGCCGCAGACUCCUACGGGAGGCAGCAGUAGGGAAUCUUCCGCAAUGGACGAAAGUCUGACGGAGCAACGCCGCGUGAGUGAUGAAGGCGUCUUCGAAUCCGUAAAACUCUGGUGUUAGGGAAGAACAAGUGCUAGUUGAAUAAGCUGGCACCUUGACGGUACCUAACCAGAAAGCCACGGCUAACUACGUGCCAGCAGCCGCGGUAAUACGUAGGUGGCAAGCGUUAUCCGGAAUUAUCGGGCGUAAAGCGCGCGCAGCUGGUUUCCUAAGUCUGAUGUGAAAGCCCACGCCUCAACCGUGGAGGGUCAUUGGAAACUGGGAGACCUGAGUGCAGAAGAAGAAAGUGGAAUUCCAUGGGUAGCGGUGAAAUGCCGUAGAAGAUAUGGAAGAACACCAGUUGGCGAAAGCGGACUUUCCUGGUCUGGUAACUGACCACUGAAGGCGGCCAAAGCGUGGGGAAGCAAACCAGGAUUAGAUACCCUGGGUAGUUCCACCCCGUAAACGAUGAAUUGCUAAGUUGUUAAAAGGUUUUCCGCCCUUUAGUCCUGAAAGUCAACGCAUUAAACACAUCCCCCUGGGGAAUACGGCCGCAAGGCUGAAACUCAAAGGAAUUGACGGGGGCCCCCACAAGCGGUGGAGCAUGUGGUUUAAUUCGAAACAACCCGAAAAACCCUACCAGGUUCUUGACAUCCUUCUGACAACCCCAGAAAAUAGGGCUUCUCCUUCCGGAACAAAAUGACCAGGUGGUGCAAGGGUUGUUCGUCAACUCCUGUCCUGAAAAUGUUGGGGUUAAUUCCCCCCACCAAAGCGCCAACCCUUUGAUCUUUAUUUCCCUCCAUUAAAUUGGGGCCACCCUAAGGGGACUGCCGGGGGCCAACCGGGGGAAAGGGGGGGAGGACGCCAAUUCUCCAGCCCCCUUAUACCUUGGGUUCCCCCCGGGCUCAAAUGGCGGUUCCAAAGAGUGCCAGGCCCGGGGGGGGAACUUAUUUUCUAAAACCCGUUUCCAGUUGGGAUGUUAGGUGCCACUUGGCUUCCAGGAAGCGGGAAUCGUUGGUAUCGGGGAUUCACCAGGCCCCGGGGAAUACGUUCCCGGCCUUUGUCCCCCCCCCCGGCCCCCCCCGAAAAGUUGGUACCCCCCAAAUUCGGUGGGUUACCCUUUGGAGCCAGCCGCCUUAAGGUGGGACAGGAUGAUUGGGGUGAAGUCGAACAAGAGCUAU
rnacentral:rRNA from 1 species